rnacentral:rRNA from 1 species
UACAGAGGUCCCGAGCGUUGUUCGGAUUCACUGGGCGUAAAGGGCGCGUAGGCGGCCUGAUAAGUAGGGGGUGAAAUCUUGCGGCUUAACCGCAAGGCUGCCUUCUAAACUGUCAGGCUAGAGCACAGUAGAGGCAACUGGAAUUCUCGGUGUAGCGGUGAAAUGCGUAGAUAUCGAGAGGAACACCUGCGGCGAAGGCGGGUUGCUGGGCUGACACUGACGCUGAUGCGCGAAAGCUAGGGGAGCGAACGGG